rnacentral:lncRNA from 1 species
UAUCAGUUAUGAGCAAAGUUGUUACUGAUUUCUUGUAUCUCCCAGGAUUCCUGUUGCUUUACCCACAACAGACAAGUGACUGAAAACUCCCGAGGCAUUUCCUGGAGUAGAAUGGGUAGUGAAGAGCCAUGUCAGCGAUCAGAGGACCCCGGAAACCAGGAGAGCUGCCUGCUGUGUGGAGGCUGGCCUGAGGGCAUUUGCUGAGCACAGAAACCCUGGAGGGAUCAGCAGUCUUUCCCACUCCACCUCUUGAUCUGUCUGAUUUGCACACAGAAAGCCAGCCAGGAUCCCCUAAGAGAGUCUCUAGGCCCAGAACGGAGUCCUCAGGGCUGCAGGGGGCUGUGAUGCUAACAAUUAAACCCGCUCAGGACUUC